GGAGAGAUGGCCGAGUGGUUGAAGGCGCACGCCUGGAAAGUGUGUGUACCUCAAAAGGGUACCGCGGGUUCGAAUCCCGCUCUCUCCG
rnacentral:tRNA from 3 species